rnacentral:misc_RNA from 1 species
AAUUCGAUGGUUCGUUUGUUUCUCUCCACCUCAUGCCCUCACGGGUGGUGGGUUGGACGUCCAGCAAGCCUUGUGUUCCUGGCAUGCCUCGCCCAGUUGCAUGGCUGCCUUGGCGCAUGAGGCUCUUUGCCCGUGCUCUCGGAUGCAGAAUGUUAUGUGCUGUGGGUGGGUGGCCUCUCUGAGGCCUCCAUCUAAUCAAGCAAUGCAUUUUGUCCAAUGACACGAACUACUGCUACGCCCGUCUUUGGGCCUGCGGCCUCACGGCUCGGCAGGGCUCAUG